CAACUUGAGAGUUUGAUCCUGGCUCAGGACGAACGCUGGCGGCAGGCCUAACACAUGCAAGUCGAACGAGAAGCCAUCCUUCGGGAUGGUGGGCAGUGGCGAACGGGUGAGUAACGCGUGGGAACCUGCCCUUCGGUACGGGACAACCGCGGGAAACUGCGGCUAAUACCGUAUAUUCCCCAUGGGGGAAAGAUUUAUCGCCGAGGGAUGGGCCCGCGUCCGAUUAGCUAGUUGGUGAGGUAAAAGCUCACCAAGGCGACGAUCGGUAGCUGGUCUGAGAGGAUGAUCAGCCACACUGGGACUGAGAUACGGCCCAGACUCCUACGGGAGGCAGCAGUGGGGAAUAUUGGACAAUGGGGGCAACCCUGAUCCAGCCAUGCCGCGUGAGUGAAGAAGGCCCUAGGGUUGUAAAGCUCUUUCAGCGAGGAAGAUAAUGACGGUACUCGCAAAAGAAGCCCCGGCUAACUCCGUGCCAGCAGCCGCGGUAAUACGGAGGGGGCUAGCGUUGUUCGGAAUUACUGGGCGUAAAGCGCGCGUAGGCGGUCUGCUAAGUUGGGCGUGAAAGCCCGGGGCUCAACCCCGGAACUGCGUUCAAUACUGGUAGACUAGAGGCCGGGAGAGGAGAGCGGAAUUCCCAGUGUAGAGGUGAAAUUCGUAGAUAUUGGGAAGAACACCAGUGGCGAAGGCGGCU
rnacentral:rRNA from 1 species